AGGAAGGAAGGAAGGAAGGAAGGAGAGAUAGGUUGGAAGGGGAUGAUAUGUUGACAACAACACAUAGGUAUUUCUACCCUCAGGGCUGGGCGAUAGGACACAAUUAAUGUUCUGGGCAAGAUCUGUAUAAUUUGUACAUAUUUUAAUCCUUAUGACCAUUCUUCACCCUUAUGGCUGUUGCAGCCUGCCCAUGCUCACGUGAUGCUUGACAACCGACUCGUACCUAUGACGGUUGCAGAGUCCCGGGGUCAUGUGAUCCAUUUUGUGACCUUCUGACAUGCCAAGUCAAUGGGGGAAGCCAGAUUCGCUUAUCAACGGGUUACUCAACAACUGGAGUGAUUGGCUUAACAACUGUGGCAAGACAGGUUGUAAAAUGAGGCAAAACUCACUUAACAGGUCUCACUUAACGACAUAAAUUUUGAGCUCAGUUGUGGUCGUAAGUCGAGGACUACCUGUAUUCAAAGUGUGGAGUUAUCGAGGCGUUAUAAAGUAGUAUUUCCACUUCACCUGUCCUUGAUUCUAUCCCGCCAUUAAUGCAUUUUAAGAACAGAAUAACAGAGUUGGAAGGGACCUUGGAGGUCAUCGAGUCCAACCCACUAUUCAAGCCGGAGAACCUAUUCCAUUCUGAACAAAUGGCUGUCCAAUCACAUCUUAAAAUCCUUUUAAAAAUGAUCAGAAAAGCGAAGAUCACUCAAACCCUCAUAUCACUGGAAUAUGAGCCAGCAGAGUGCUGCAGCCCUGCAGAUUUUAUUCCGCUAGUCGCUACUGACUACCUAGAUUAGCCAAACCCAAAUCCUGCAACCGUUCUUCACGUUUUUUGUCUGCAGGCCUUUGAGUUGCUCUUCUCUGCACUUUUUCCAAAAUCUCAACAACCUUUUUGUAACGUGGUGACCAAAACUGGAUGCCACAUUCUCCAGAAGCCCCCCAGUCCUCCUUGUUGCUCUUCGCUUGAGCAGUAACUCAUUGCCCACUUCCGCGACGUCAGCCUAACCUCAGCUGGGAAGAGGGGGAACCCAGGGGACGGGGAGGCGGUGAGCACCUGGGCAGGGGAGAUGGACCAGCCACAGGGGCGGGGCUUCUGGAGAAUGGGUGUGGCCUCUGCACAGGUAAGAUCCCUUGCCACCUGAGGCUCUGGCAGACUGUUCGGUCCAGGCUGACUGUUGGGAUUGCUUGCUUUGCGUCCGUGCCUGCCAGACUCUCUCUCUCUCUCUCUCAAGCCCCAUGAUGCACUCCCAGAUGCCAGUCCCCUCCCUUCUCUGCGCCCUCCUGAUGCUGCCUCUGGGGAUGCUCCAGGAUUAUCCCGACGUGCCCCUCACAGAUUUGGUGGUGCAGAUGAGCACGGCCUUUGCCGUGCAGCAAUACAACAAGGACCGUUAUGACAGUACCAACUAUUUUAAGGAGCUGCGCCUUCUGAAGGCACAAUCACCGGUGGAUUCUCCGUUCGAAUACCAUCUUACUGUCGUGUUGGUGAAAACUGCAUGUAAAAAGAGGGCCGAUAAGAUAAAGUCGUAUAAGAAGAUCCAGCAAUGUAAGGCACUUAGAGGGAAUCAUCGGCAGGUGAGUUGAGAUGCCAGGUUCCGAUCAUAUAUUUGCGGUUUCAUUGAUAAAACCUGCCUGAUCUGAGCUCAGCAGCCCCCCCCCCCGUAAAGCGUAUUUCAAUUAUUUUCAUAGGUGAUUUCAAUUCAAAAUGAUGGUGUUUGCUAUAUGAGGGGCUGCCCCAAAGAAGACGGGGGUGUGUGUGUCACCCAUUCUCCAAAGCAACUGCACACAGGAGAAGAAACAACGGAUGGAAACUCAUCAAAGAGAGAAGCAACCUGGAAUUAAGGAGAAAUUUCCUGACAGUGGGGACAAUUAACCAGUGGAACUACCUGCCUCCAGAAGUUGUGGGUGCUCCAUCAUUGGAGGCUUUUAAGAAGAGAUUGGAUAAUUGAUUAACCUGUCACCAGGUCGUUUGUCAAGCACGUUGUUGUAAAAAUUAAAAAAUCAAUAAAACUUGGUUUUUUUUAUAAAAAAGAAGAAGAGAUUGGACAAACGUUUGUCUAGAAUGGUUCAGGGUCUCCUGCUUGAACAGGGGGUUGGACUAGAAGACCUCAAGGGUCCCUUCCAACUCUCUUUUUCUUUUCAUUCCCUUCCAGAUAACCUGCGCAUUUAAAGUCACAUUUCGUGAUCUGGUGAAUAUGAAGUUGGAAGUCACAGUCUGUAACUAAUCUGGACCUCCGAAGGACCCCUUAUGCGCAGGCGAAGGAUUCUGUGGGUGUCCAGCAGCCGAGCGAGUUCCGGUAUGCAAGCUGUGUUCAUGGUAAACUUUGCUUCUUCUGACACAAAUCGGGAAUGGAAUAGUUUGCUUAAGCCCAAAAUUCACAUUUUCUAAGUUUCUGAAAUUGUUCUUUGACAUACACGGAGGCCUUUUCUGGCGCUUCUGUUUUCUCUAAUUUUCAUCUUUGAGAAGAAUCGACAUUUUGCUAAUUCAGUCGAUUAGUCUUAAUAAAGCGAUCAUCAUGACGUUCCGUCUUGUCUUCCUUUCUUGUCCAAAUCCCAUCCAGCCUUUCCGUUUUCACGGCGACAGCACAAUGACACCACGGCUUGUUCAAGAAAACCUCCAGCCAUUUGGGGUACUUUUCAAACUUCUGGAAACUUUGAUCCGUUUGAUAGUUUUCAAGAAGCGCAAUUAAGAUUUUUAACAGAACGAACACUGCUUCUUUCCCAAACUCUACUCCAAUUGGCAUAUUAUGCCAGUGAACAUGCCUAGCCCCUUGGGGAUAUAAAAUACGAGAGGGAGGGAGGGAGGAAAGGAUAGGUUGAAAGGAAGUGGGGAGGAAAGGGAGAAAGAAAGAAAGAAAGAAAGAAAGAAAGAAAGAAAGAAAGAAAGAAAGAAAGAGAGAGAUAUAGGUUGAAAAGGAGGGAGGGAGGGAGGGAGGGAGGAAGGAAGGAAGGGAAUAUACCUUACCAGUUGGGGAUAAUCACCAGGAGAACUUCAGGGAUAUAGAAUAUUAGAGGGAGGGAGGGAGGGAGGAGGGAGAUAUAGGUUGAAAGAAAGUGGGGAAGGAGGGAGGGAAGAAAGGAAAUGAAUCUUCCUUGCCAAUUGGGGAUAAUUACUAGGGGACUAUUAAUGAUAUGGAAUGGGAGAGGGAGGGAGGCAGAGGAGGGAGGGAGGAAAGGAGGGAAGGACAUAUAGGUUGAAAAGGAGAGAGGGACGGAGGGAAGGGAGGGAGAGAGGGAGGGAGGGAAGGAGGGAGUAUUCUUUGCCAGUUGGGGAUAAUUGUGGUUGUAAAUCAAGGAUUACCUGUAUGUGGACACAUCUAUCAAUGAGGCUUGACGUAAGAUGGGCGAGAUAUAAAUUUAACAAAUCAAUGAAAUUGGAGACUCCCAUAUUGUUCACGUAGACGAACAGCUCGUCUCUUUAUCAGGAUCUUUGACCACACACACACACACACACACACACACACACACACACACACACACACACACGAUUGUUUGUUCCUGUCAGAAGCAUCAGAAUUAAAAUAAGGCGUACUGCCUGACGUAACAUUUAAGCAGAAGAUUAAAAUAUGUAGAAAUUAAACAGAUCUUGACCCAGAACAUUGUGUUCUGCCUUGCUGCUCCGCCGUCCUGACGCGUACAUAGAUCGGAGCGCAAAGGGCAGACAUUUCAUGACCCAACUAGGCAACAUCAUCCACGCUACAAAGGAGUGGGCUUUGUUCUCUCUUUAUAUGCUGUAUAAUGAGGGCAGUGCGUGGCUCAGCAGUUAAGACAUUGGCUUGUCGGCUGGCUAUCUGAUUGCCCAGGUUCAAGACCCGAGCACCCCAGGAUGGGCUGUGCUUCCGCCCUUGCUCCAGCUCCAGCCAACCGAGCCGUCUGAAAGCAUGCAAAUGCGAAGAGAUAAAUAGGUACCACUUCGGUGGGACGGUGACGUUUUGCUGACCCCACGAAAGCGGCCAUGUCUUGGGACAGCGUCAGCUCUCUGGCCUUGAAAGUCGUUGCUGUAGUCAGCAACGACUAGCGGAGUAAAAUCUGCAGGGACCCCUUUGUAUCCAGACAAUCCUCGACUUACAACGGUUCGCUCAGUAGACUUUUCGAAGUGACGACGGCCCUGAAAAAAGUGACCUGCGACCGCUUUUCACAUGACCCUUGCAGACACUUGGCAACUGAUUCAUAUUUAUGACGGUUGCUGUGUCCUGGGGUCAUGUGACCUUCCCCCCCCCAGAUAGGGAAAGCCGUGUUACUAACUUAACACCUGCAGUGAUUUACUUAACGACCGUGGCAGGAAAAGUCAUAAAAAAAAAUCAAAUGGCUUGCCAAAGCAUCUCAGGGCAGAACAAAAAAUAACUUGAUGGAAAAAAUUUUUGCUUAGUAGAAUAUAUCUGUGAAAUAGAGUAAGAUUGCAUUUUUUGAAUCAAUAUGUUUAUUUUAUGUAUGAUAAUUAUUCUGUAAUGGAAUGAGAACAAGAAAAUGGAUUGUGCUAAUAGAAGACAUGGUAUUAAUAAAUGAGGAGCUAGUAAAACAAGAAUAGAAUAUACAGUAUUUAGGAAAUGUUUUUUUUUAGAUAUUAUAAUUAUUAUGUUAUGAAAAGAGGGAUAUUGCAGAUACCCGAAGUAUAAAUAUUAGGCUUAUUUAUGGUUAAAUAGAAGAAGGGGACGACAGAGAAUGAGAUGGCUGGACGGAGUCACUGAAGCAGCAGGUGUGAACUUAAAUGGACUCCAGAAGAUGGCAGAGGACAGGAAGACCUGGAGGAACGUUGUCCAUGGGGUCGCGAUGGGUCAGACAUGACUUCGCAAUUAACAACAACAUGGUUAAAUUGAAAUAUGGUAACUGGAAUUUUGUAAAGCUUAAAUACAGGAUUGGGAUUUAUAUAGUUAAAUGGCUACUGAUAAUUUUACUGAUUGACUGAAUUUUACUAGAACUGUAUUAAUCUGAAUAUGGUCUAUGAUUUGUGAGAAUUAGAGAGGGAUUAUUUAACGAGUUAACCUGAGUUAUAUAUAAAUGUUUUGGUUUUUUGAAUAAUUGAUUACCCUAUCACCACAUUGUUUCCUAAGCACCUGGUUGUAAAAAUUGAAAAACUUAGUAAAACUUGUAUUAAAAAAAAAAAAGAAACUCAUCAGGGAGAGAAGCAAGCUGGAACUAAGGAGAAAUUUCCUAACAGUGAGGACAAUUAACCAGUGGA